GAAGAGCGUGUCCUGGUCUCCAAGUGCCCCUCUCUUCCUUAGAAGGUGAACAUGGCAGCCACCUAGGUAGUGGGAAUGCCACGAACCCGAGCGUCACCAGGGCACACGUUGGAGGCUGUUAUCACCCAGGGUGGCUCCACUUUGGAUUACUUCAGGUUGG
rnacentral:lncRNA from 1 species